GACGUAGGGCGCGAGCGUUGUCCGGAUUUAUUGGGCGUAAAGAGCUCGUAGGCGGCUCAUUGCGUCGUCGGUGAAAACCUGCAGCUUAACUGUGGGCCUGCGGCCGAUACGGGCAGACUUGAGUUCGGUAGGGGAGACUGGAAUUCCUGGUGUAGCGGUGAAAUGCGCAGAUAUCAGGAGGAACACCGGUGGCGAAGGCGGUUCUCUGGGCAUUACCUGACGCUGAGGAGCGAAAGUGUGGGGAGCGAACAGG
rnacentral:rRNA from 1 species